UUUUUUUAAUGUUUAUUUUUGAGAGAGAGAGAGUUCCUGCACACAAAUGGGGAAGGGGCAGAGAGAGAGAGAGGGAGACAGAAUCUGAUGCAGGCGCCAGGCUCCCUGUCACCUUGGCUGGAACUCACGAAUCUUGAGAUCAUGACCUGAACCAAAGUCGACCGCUUAACUGACUGAGCUACCCGGGAGCCCCUGUUUCCAUGUUUAAACUUUUUUUUUUUUUUUUUUUAACAUUUCAAUUUAUAACUGGAAUGAAGAAGUUAGAUUUCUGUGUUCAAGUUAUAUUCAUCUGUAGAAAACCAUCAUUAUCUUUUUCAUGAGAAUGUUCUUUGAUUUCUGUGAUGGUUACUUUCUCAUGGUUCUAAUUCAGAACCUCUGAUGAUAUUUAUUAAAAAUCGCAAUUGUGACAUUUUUGGCCAGAGUGUAUCAGAGAUGAUCUUCAAAUUGCAUAACAUCAGGAGAGACAUAGGAUAUGACGACUGGUCCAUCAUUAGUGAUUGCAUUUUCCCCAAAAUGUAAUCUGUAUGGAUUUACUUUGGUACCAUACUAAUGUUCAUUUCCCAUCAAUUUAGUAGAUAGGUUUUACUCUGAUAAAUAAUCCUUGGUUAAAUCAGUUUCUUCACGGGUUGAAAAGUGAUGAUUUUCUAGUUUUUUAAAAUUUCUUUUCCAUUUAUUUGCUGACCUCAAAUUGUUUCAAAUUUUUCUGACCUUUAAGCAUCAUUACAAAGUGUUCUAGUAACUGCAACGAAUUUUCUUUCUGAUACUCCUGUUACCACAGUUUUAGCUGAUGGGCAGUCCUCCAAGCUCCUGCUGGUUCAUUUUGACUUUUGCUGUUUAACUUUGAAACUUUUAUGCACUCCAAGCCCACUUUGUACCUUCCCUGUUACAUUUGGAAUUGGCCAUUUCUCACAAGGAGCUCUGGUUCCCUUUAUUAGAGGAUGGUAUUGGAGAUGUUCUCAUUUCUGCAGGGGUAAUGUUCCAAGGCAUUUCAGUGAUAGAGCUAGAAAAUCCAUUUUUAAAAAUACAGGUUUGUAUAAGUUUCUAAUUCAAGUUAAAUUGUAUGAUAUUUUUACCUAAUAAUUAGCUCCUAAUUGUAUUGUAUAAUAAAAAUUUUGAAACAUGUUAACAUAAUUUCUUAUUUUCUUUGUUUUAUCUUGCAGUAUAAGAAACAUGGUUUCAAAAUAACAUUACUGGUAGUAGUAGUAACCAUGAACAACAUACUUCAUCACAUGAAAAAUUUCUUUGUAGCUAUUUUUGUCCCUAGACUGUAUUCCACUAAAGAUGUAUGGUUACUUUUUUGUUCUAAAGCUUUUUGAAAUAAAUUCUUUCUUUGA